AGGAAGUAAAAGUCGUAACAAGGUUUCCCGUAGGUGAACCUGCGGAAGGAUCAUUAUUAGAAUUCCGGUGUCAUCAAGGGCUCCGAUGCAAACACAUCCCUGUGUAUUCUUCCAUGUUGCUUCCCCAGAUCAGUGGCUAUGGCCACCAGCCCAUGUCCUAACAGGUCCAUGAGGUUGAGCAAUCUGGGGGAGGGUCCAUUAUCAAACCUUUACCUAAUGUGUUGUCUGAGAAGGCCUUGUGCCAUAAUCUUGAAACAUGUUAAAACUUUCAACAACGGAUCUCUUGGCUCUCGCAUCGAUGAAGAACGCAGCGAAAUGCGAUAAGUAAUGUGAAUUGCAGAAUUCAGUGAAUCAUCGAAUCUUUGAACGCACAUUGCGCCCUUUGGCAUUCCUCAGGGCAUGCCUGUUCGAGCGUCACUAACAACCGUUUCACAUAUAAUGUGGUAUUGGCAGAUGUGGGUGGCACUUGCGGUGCCCCUCCCACUCAGCUGAAAUGGAUAGGCCGGAGAAGCAAACCAUGGCAACAGACUCACAGAGUGUUAUACAAUGCUAAACUAGUCUGAAGUAGGUUGAAAUCCGUGUCACUGGACCCCCCGUUCAUCAAAACCAUAGAUGUUGACCUCGGAUCAGGUAGGGAUACCCGCUGAACUUAAGCAUAUC
rnacentral:rRNA from 1 species